CUACGGGACGCUCCAGUGAGGAAUAUUGCACAAUGGAGGAAACUCUGAUGCAGCAACGCCGCGUGGAGGAUGACGCAUUUCGGUGUGUAAACUCCUUUUAUAUGUCAAGAAAAUGACGGUAGCAUAUGAAUAAGCACCGUCUAACUCCGUGCCAGCAGCCGCGGUAAUACGGAGGGUGCAAGCGUUACUCGGAAUCACUGGGCGUAAAGGACGCGUAGGCGGGAUAUCAAGUCAGGUGUGAAAUCCUACAGCUUAACUGUAGAACUGCACUUGAAACUGGUAACCUAGAGUAUGGGAGGGGGAGAUGGAGUUAGUGGUAUAGGGGUAAAAUCCGUAGAUAUCACUAGGAAUACCUAAAGCGAAGGCGAUCUCCUGGAACAUAACUGACGCUAAGGCGUGAAAGCGUGGGGAGCAAACAGGAUUAGAUACCCCCGUAGUC
rnacentral:rRNA from 1 species